rnacentral:rRNA from 1 species
AACGAACGCUGGCGGCAGGCCUAACACAUGCAAGUCGAGCGAGACCUUCGGGUCUAGCGGCGGACGGGUUAGUAACGCGUGGGAACGUACCCUUCUCUAAGGAAUAGCCACUGGAAACGGUGAGUAAUACCUUAUACGCCCUUCGGGGGAAAGAUUUAUCGGAGAAGGAUCGGCCCGCGUAAGAUUAGAUAGUUGGUGGGGUAAUGGCCUACCAAGUCUACGAUCUUUAGCUGGUUUUAGAGGAUGAUCAGCAACACUGGGACUGAGACACGGCCCAGACUCCUACGGGAGGCAGCAGUGGGGAAUCUUAGACAAUGGGCGCAAGCCUGAUCUAGCCAUGCCGCGUGUGUGACGAAGGCCUUAGGGUCGUAAAGCACUUUCGCCUGUGAUGAUAAUGACAGUAGCAGGUAAAGAAACCCCGGCUAACUCCGUG